CGGGGAGGUAGUGACGAAAAAUAACGAUACGGGACUCAUCCGAGGCCCCGUAAUCGGAAUGAGUACACUUUAAAUCCUUUAACGAGGACCAAUUGGAGGGCAAGUCUGGUGCCAGCAGCCGCGGUAAUUCCAGCUCCAAUAGCGUAUAUUAAAGUUGUUGCGGUUAAAAAGCUCGUAGUUGAAUCUGUGUGUCACAGUGUCGGUUCACCGCUCGCGAUGUUUAACUGGCAUUAUGUGGUACGUCCUACCGGUGGGCUUAGCUCCUCACGGGGCGGUCCAACUAAUAUCCCAUCGCGGUGCUCUUCACUGAGUGUCGAGGUGGGCCGGUACGUUUACUUUGAACAAAUUAGAGUGCUCAAAGCAGGCUACCUUCGCCUGAAUACUCUGUGCAUGGAAUAAUGGAAUAGGACCUCGGUUCUAUUUUGUUGGUUUUCGGAACCCCGAGGUAAUGAUUAAUAGGGACAGAUGGGGGCAUUCGUAUUGCGACGUUAGAGGUGAAAUUCUUGGAUCGUCGCAAGACGGACAGAAGCGAAAGCAUUUGCCAAAAAUGUUUUCAUUAAUCAAGAACGAAAGUUAGAGGUUCGAAGGCGAUCAGAUACCGCCCUAGUUCUAACCAUAAACGAUGCCAGCUAGCGAUCCGCCGAAGUUCCUCCGAUGACUCGGCGGGCAGCUUCCGGGAAACCAAAGCUUUUGGGUUCCGGGGGAAGUAUGGUUGCAAAGCUGAAACUUAAAGGAAUUGACGGAAGGGCACCACCAGGAGUGGAGCCUGCGGCUUAAUUUGACUC
rnacentral:rRNA from 1 species